CCUUAGUAGCGGCGAGUGAAGCGGCAAAGCUCAAAUUUGAAAUCUGGCACUUUCAGUGUCCGAGUUGUAAUUUGAAGAAGGUAUCUUUGGGUCUGGCUCUUGUCUAUGUUUCUUGGAACAGAACGUCACAGAGGGUGAGAAUCCCGUGCGAUGAGAUGUCCCAGACCUAUGUAAAGUUCCUUCGAAGAGUCGAGUUGUUUGGGAAUGCAGCUCUAAGUGGGUGGUAAAUUCCAUCUAAAGCUAAAUAUUGGCGAGAGACCGAUAGCGAACAAGUACAGUGAUGGAAAGAUGAAAAGAACUUUGAAAAGAGAGUGAAAAAGUACGUGAAAUUGUUGAAAGGGAAGGGCUUGAGAUCAGACUUGGUAUUUUGUAUGUUACUCUCUCGGGGGUGGCCUCUACAGUUUACCGGGCCAGCAUCAGUUUGAGCGGUAGGAUAAGUGCAAAGAAAUGUGGCACUGCUUCGGUAGUGUGUUAUAGUCUUUGUCGAUACUGCCAGCUUAGACUGAGGACUGCGGCUUCGGCCUAGGAUGUUGGCAUAAUGAUCUUAAGUCGCCCGUCUUGAACCA
rnacentral:rRNA from 1 species